rnacentral:rRNA from 1 species
UACAGAGGUCUCAAGCGUUGUUCGGAUUCAUUGGGCGUAAAAGGUGCGUAGGCGGCGCGGUAAGUCGGGUGUGAAAUCUUGGAGCUUAACUCCGAAACUGCAUUCGAUACUGCCGUGCUUGAGGACUGGAGAGGAGACUGGAAUUUACGGUGUAGCGGUGAAAUGCGUAGAUAUCGUAAGGAAGACCAGUGGCGAAGGCGGGUCUCUGGACAGUUCCUGACGCUGAGGCACGAAGGUCAGGGGAGCAAACGGG